rnacentral:tRNA from 1 species
AAAAAUGAAGCAAAAAUUUUGCAUUCAGUUUCGACCUGAAAAUCAGGAAAAUCCCAUUUUUA